CCAUCAAAUCAGAUAGAAACUUCUAAUGUGUGUGACCCCAUAGGUUUGAACCUAAACCAAUAGCACAGAAAUCAAUUUUUGUACUAAUCAAAGUGACCAUCUAGUAAUGGUAUCCGAUAUCCGAAUAGGUCAAAUAGUCGCAAUCAUAACAUUCAGAACCUAUGCGAAUAUGGUUACUGUAUAAUUCAUCCCUUUUGACUCCUGUGUAUAGGACGACUCAGGGUUAAACUGUCAACCCUGAUCAGAUCAUCCGAAUCAUGCUUAACUCAAACAGUCCUGUGACUCCUCCCUAGGACUACCCUAGCCAAGGUUUUGCUAAAUUGAAACACGACUGUACACAGCUCCUGAACUGGAGUGAUCAAUCCCAUCUUGACACACGCACCGACAAGUCAAGUACUUGACUACACCCAACAGCCUUCCGUCACUGAAUUAAAAAUUCAGGUAGUCCGGUGCCUAAGUGCAGUGAAUUGUUUGCAAGUCACCAUGACGGUCUCAGAUCGGAGGGACAGUUAUAUCCAUAUCCCAUC
rnacentral:lncRNA from 1 species